rnacentral:rRNA from 1 species
UACAGAGGGUGCGAGCGUUAAUCGGAAUUACUGGGCGUAAAGCGCGUGUAGGCAGCUUGGCAAGUCGGGUGUGAAAGCCCUGGGCUCAACCUAGGAAGUGCACUCGAAACUGCUUCGCUUGAGUAUCGGAGAGGAAAGCGGAAUUCUCGGUGUAGAGGUGAAAUUCGUAGAUAUCGAGAGGACCACCAGUGGCGAAGGCGGCUUUCUGGACGAUCACUGACGCUGAGACGCGAAAGCGUGGGGAGCAAACAGG